rfam:Trichobilharzia regenti genome assembly, scaffold: TRE_scaffold0070963
AUCCAGCUGACGAGUCCCAAUUAGGACGAAAUGCGCAUACUGGCUGGAU